AAUACGGGCAGAAUUUUCUACGAAACGAUUUUUGUGGAAAAACAUCCUCAUUUUCAGCAGAUUAUCCUCUAUAGGAGAUAUUGAUGAACAAGGAUCCUUCGAGCAGACAUCAAGGAACACAUAAAUGAUAAUCCAUGACCUUUUUUUGUCUCUUGCUUGAAAUUUUGCACUUCUUAGACGAGGACUACAGAACCAAACCAACAGCGCGGGAUAAGACUCAAUUGUCUACAAUACCUUGCACAUAAACACGAGAACAAGCCUCAGCAGUGAUGGCACGAAAAUGACCGACACCGCAUAAAGGCCUCCGGUCUCUUUACCUGUAUUCCAGCUCUUGUUCAAAUUUUAGCAAUCGUUCGCCCAUGGGCCUCAGAAACAGCCUCAGAUCCUUGCACAUCUGCAUUUUAUCCUCCGUCGGAAGACCCUUUUCUUCACUAAGCCUUAUAUCUCAAUCUGCAAGUAGGAGUAGAAAGGAAUUAGAACUGCAACUAGGACAAAUCAAAUAAUCACCAUCAUAAUCUAAGGCCUUUUCCAUAGUAUA
rnacentral:lncRNA from 1 species